UGUAUGGAAGUGUGUGGAUGGUGGGGCUGUUUUUUAUAGGUGCGGGCAAUGUAUGGAAGAGUGUGGAUGGUGGGGCUGUUUUUUAUAGGUGCGGGCAAUGUAUGGAAGAGUGUGGAUGGUGGGGCUGUUUUUUAUAGGUGCGGGCAAUGUAUGGAAGAGUGUGGAUUGUAUGAUUUGACAUUAGGUAAUGCAUGAGGUGAGAAUGUUAAACUAUGGCAAUAAGCAUUGUUUGAAAUGAAAAUAGAUCUAGGUGACUGUAUUAAAUAAAACGGGUCAUUGCAGUUGUAAUACGCUGAUGUGUCAGAUGCGGGUGGGGAUUUGCAGAUUCGUUAGAAAUAGCAGAAUUAUGACUAGUAGAUAUAACUCGUGAAAGGUUUCGGAUAAGAUCUUUUUUGUAAGGAGGCCGGAUUUUAUUUUCGUGUUUCAAUACAAUUUUUCUUUCGUAUGUUAUACGAGUAUUUUCCAAUUUCAAUUAAUGUGUCAUUUUAAGAAGUUUAGUUUCGCGAGUGAUAUUGGAGGUGUAUAGUGUGUCGACAUCGUUGAGACGACGAAUCUGAGACGUUAAAUUUAAAUGGGAAAUGGAGGGGGAUCUAUAACCUUGUCAAAAAUCUUAGCUUUUAAAAUUCUAUGGCGAUUUUUACAAAUGCCCACCAAUUUGAAAACUUCCCUGAAUUCCGUAUCUUACUGGGUCCAACUUUAAAAAAAAAAGUCUCUGAUUUAGACAUACUUCUAGAACUGUUCAAAUUAAUGGACGUUUUAUGGGAUAUUGGAUAAAAGCUUUACAAAUUUUCAUCAAUGAAAUAUUAAACCAGAAACUAUCUAAAUCAACUGAACCGCUAAAAAAGUUGAUAGAAUAUAGGGAAUUCCUUGCAGUUGGAUCUCACUGAAGUUGACAGUUGCGGUAAUAUUUUUAGAACUUUUAUAAGAUUUGAUAUUACUUAUGAAUUAAAUAUGUAUUGCAGAAUACAAUAUUCAUUUUUCAGUAAGUUCUCGUUACUUAGACAGGCAACAUUUUUUGUUUCGAAAUCAAAACUCAUUAAAUGGAAAUUGCAAAGGCUAUAAAACGGUUAACGUCUUUUGGGUUUCUUUUUAUUAUUGCACUCGCCCACUCUGACUCAAUCUAAAGUAAAAUUUACUAAUUACUUGUUAAGAUUUGGAUAUAUCUUUAAUUCAAUCAUAAGACAACUCCGAAAUUGACUUUCACUUAUUUUCUUAAUUCGUAUAUAUUUCUAACCGUCUUAAAACUCAACAAUUCCCUUUUCAUGAUCAAAUAUAUAUCUCGGAUUAUUUUUCAUAAAUAUUUUCUUUUUCAUUAAUGUUCCGUAACCGAAAUUUUAUGACCCUGGGAUAUAAUGCAAAAAUUAGUCUUAAAGGCCUCAUUGUUUUAAUAUUGCAUAUAGACUGUCUUAAAGCAUGACGGAAGAGUGCAUCUUGCUUGCCAUAGAAGAGCUUAAUCCAACCUCGAUAUCUAUCGCCAUAAACCGAAUAGUAUUUGAGCUUCUAGCACGAUACAAGCUAUUGUUUUAUUUAUUAACUAGAUCCACUUGGGAAAACUAAUUACCUCAUCGUCAAUUUCGAAAUUAUUUUAUAUGCAUUAUAUAGCCAGAUCUGUCAUAUAACAAUUCAUGUAUCAAAAUUCGGAUUGAACGUGCGUUGAACAAAUGCAUCGAAUUUAGAUUACUUUAUUGAAAUUAGCUUAAACGGAAGUAUUUAUUGAACAGAAACUUUUUGCUGGGAUAGUAAAUUUAUCGGAUGGAACAUUCAAGAUAUUUAAAAAAUGGGAUAAGUUUAAAUUGUAUCGGAUAUAAAUAUAACAAUUCGGACAAAACUAGUAAUAAACUGAUCUCUUGACUAUCGGUCUCAAGAAUGAUUGCGACGUCUAUUUAGAAUUAAAACGAAUUAUUGAACUGCUGUCUUUGAAACUUAUUUUGAUAAAUCCACUGUAAAGAUUCUGUUGGACCAUUUCAGAUAUAUCCAGCUUUUUUUCAACUUUAUGGGAUUUCACUUUUUAUUGAAAGAUUCAAAAUUUACUUAAUGAUUAGUAACUUUUAAUUCCUUAAAGAAUUGAGUUUCCUUCUAUUAAAUUCAAGAAUUUAAAAUGUCUUAAAUGAUUCGAAAGAUUUUAAAAUUCCUCGGAUCUGAACAUCUGAUUCUGAAAGAGAAGUGAUGUCUUCCUCUCAAAAUUUUUCUCAAAGGUGGUAUCUGAUUAGUAAGGAUGCCACGGCAAUUAUAUGGACAAACUUGGUGUAGGUUCUGUGUGAUAGAGGAGAGCAAUAAGGUAAUUUUUCUGAGCUAUCUUCGAUUAAUGAAUAGGGAGUGAAAUCGCUGAGAAUCUGCUCAAGUCCCAAAAGUUAAAAAUAUAUCUUAAAAAGCGGAUGGGCAUUGAAGUUAUUUUCAACUGAAUGUUUUUAUAAUGGAAAUAUUUUGAUUCGAAAUUAUUUUCGAAGAAUGCUGGUGGGAGAUAAACGAACACCCUUCACUUUUGUGUCUACUCCGAUAAACAGAAGACGCUGUCAAAUAAUUCAACGAUAUAAACUCGCUUGCAGUUAUCGAUUGCAGAAAAAUGCUGCAGAUAUUCCUUAUUGAUGGUAUCAUUGUCCAUAUGGAUGACCAUUAUUCAUCUGCAGUGACUGUCAUCUCAAUUCGAGAAACGAAUCCAAUCGACAUUGGCUAUUAUGGAUGAACAGGAAAUUUUCUCAGAAUAUCGAAUCGAACUAGGUAUUAAAUGGUUGUCUUAUCCCCUUAUGGUUUCAUUGCUGGAUAAUGGAAGUCGUCAAUCACCGGUAGCAAGACUUCCUCGGUACUGCAAGCAUGUUCGUACGAAAUGGGCUAUGCUGGAUGCGCAGGCACUCUUUCCUCAAUGGUAUCUGUGAACUGUCAAUUUAAAAAAAAUAAACAAGGUUUCUUGAUAUCUUUAAACCGAAGAAAACCUUGUGGCUUCUACUAAGCAACAUUUUAUCUUCAACUACCACCAGGAUUGAAACAUCAUGGAUUCUUGCAAGUAAAUUUUGGUCGAUGAUGAAACGGAUUUAAUUGACAAAAUAUUAAAUUGCAAAAACUAUCAAAGUUCAUGCAUGAUAAAAACUAUUUCUGUGUUGAGAAUUCUUUCAUAUCAAACGCUUCUGCAAUUGGAAAUGUGAUCCUUCAGGUAGUCGGAUUAUUUUUAGAAAUCGACGAAUCUUUUAAAAUAUUUAUGGUUCGUAUUUCUAUUGCCAAUGAUAUUGAACGUUUGUCUAUUUUGUAGAAUUCUUAAGAUGUCAUACAAAAAAUUCUCCUUUGUUUAUGACAGCUUGAAUAGUUGGUGUUGCUUCCAAACGGAUGUUAAUAAACCCAUGAAAUAAACGGAAGUUUGAUGUUGCAUACAGAAUCUAAUUAUAAUGGUUUUGUAAUAUUUAAAACGGGCAUUUCUCUUCUCUCAAUAUUUCGUUUUAAUUCAUUGCUCCGAAGUUUUGAUUUGGAUAGCACUACAGGUUAUGAUGAAUAUCAAUAUUCAUUUUCAAUUCUUUUUAGAAUAAAUUCUUUUUGAAGUCUCUUUAUUGUGAAAUGUGAUCAUUGGCUUAGCGAGUUAAGUGGCGCUCGAAAUAGCUUUCUUUGUCCCAAUCAUUUAUGGUUGAGCAAAUAUAUAUAAUAUAUUAGUACCCGACCUGGCAUUUUCCCCCCUUUCAUGAUACUCUAGUUCGAAAAAUAAUUGCAUUAAUGUUUUGUUCUGAUGGCGCCAGGGGCACCGCCUAUCCCCCUUGCUUUGGUCACUACGCCCCUGUGAAUUUAUGUAUUAAACAAUGUUUAAAAUUUGCUAUGCUUGCUUCCCUGAAGAAUUGAAAUCGUAAUUGUUUUACUCUUCCGCAAUUAAAAUAUUGUGUCUAAGAAAACUCUAUUUAUAAUCUUGUCUUAAUAAGAUACUGUUUAUAAAAUUCAACUUCUCUUUGUAAGCAAUUCUCAUUUACCUAUCAAUUGUAGUAAAAGUUGUUCUGUAAUUGUAAUUACGGUGGGAAAAAAUUCUCUCGCCUAUUUACUUUCGUAAUCCAAUCUUUCAUAAUUUAUUAAUGAAUGUCACUGGAGUGAUUUGUUUAUUUUAAUGGUCAACUGCCAUUCUAAAUGCUCUUAAUUUUUUUUCCAUCAGAUAGUUUUACUCAAUGAAUCGGCAAAAUUUCAUGGCUGUCGUUUCCAUUUACCUAGUAAUCUUUUCAUUUAACACAAAGUGGGCUGAAGUGAAAUUUUAUUUGUUCAGUUCUAGAACAUUUUGCUAUUGUCAAAUAUUCCAUUCAACCAAAAUAUUCCACUUAUUUGUAUAAUUCAAUAAUUGGCUCAUUACAGUAUUUCUCUAAAUUUUGUUUGUUACAAAAAUAUAUAAGCAAGGUUGUUGCUAUCUGUAUCUGAAGAAUAUCGUAAACAAGACAAUGAAGCGAAAUCUAUUUGCUUCCAUUAGUUGGCUCGAUUUAAGAAUUUAAUUGUUCAUUAAGUUCACUUUAUGAUCAAGUUUCUGUAAUAUGUGGUGUUUAUCGAGGGAGGAGGGAAUAUCUGUGCCAAAUGGGAAAGAUGAAGCAAUGUCUAUAUAACUUGUAUAUAAAGUCAAUGUCAUUUAUAACUUAUAUAUAAACUGUACUUCUAAAAGAUUAUACUGUAUAUGCGUAUAUACUUGUAAGACUUUGUUGUGCAUAUUUUCUGGAUUAUUGGUAACAAAUAUUGACAAUCCUUAAAAGGUAGUAUAGAGCUGCACUUGAAAUUGUGUUAUCAAUUGAUCAUUUUAUAAUUGCAUUUUUAAAUAUUCCCUUCUUACUGCAAUAGUGUCAGAUUCGUGCAUCAAUUUCCAGAAAGUUUCAUUUAAAUCUAUAUUUAAAAUAAUUUAAUGCAAGAAAAGUUUAUUUGUACAUGCAUAAAUAUUUCAUGUUCCCUUCCCAUUUUUAUGUGGAUGGAAAUUACUAUUAGUAAUAG